CCCGCAGCAAGUUCAAACGGUAGGAAAAGUUCAGAGCACACCCCAACGGGACAACAAAAUUUUUUUGCCUCACUUUUGUUUUUACUUUUUGUGCAUCUUCUUCAACUAAACCUGCCUCUUUCCCUCGUGAGAUUCUGGGAGACAGACUAUCCCCAGGGCCAAUUGAUCUACGGUUAUGGUGUCCGAGUUACAAGGAGCAAGAGCAAUAGAUGACAACCAGAAUGUCACAUCAAAUGAUGCUAAUACUGCCAUGGACAUAACAGAAAUUCUACCACAAUCCAAUCUCAACUCUGUGUGUAUCCAGGCUACGGUUGACAGUAAGCCAGUCAGUACUCAAACAUCAUGGUAUAAGUGAAACUAUGGGUGGGACCCAAGUCACAUCGACAGUGAGGCAGAGGCAUAAAAAAGUUUAGUGUGACGCAGCUGUGGGAGCAG